rnacentral:tRNA from 1 species
UGGGACGGAAGGAUUCGAACCUCCGAAUA